rnacentral:piRNA from 1 species
UGUAUCCCAGAACUUGAGAGAUGGAGGAG